UGGGGAAUAUUGGGGCAAUGGGCGCAAGCCUGACCCAGCAACGCCGCGUGAAGGAAGAAGGCUUUCGGGUUGUAAACUUCUUUUAUUAAGGACGAAAGAAAUGACGGUACUUAAUGAAUAAGCUCCGGCUAACUACGUGCCAGCAGCCGCGGUAAUACGUAGGGAGCAAGCGUUAUCCGGAUUUACUGGGUGUAAAGGGCGUGUAGGCGGGAGUGCAAGUCAGAUGUGAAAACUAUGGGCUCAACCCAUAGCCUGCAUUUGAAACUGUACUUCUUGAGUACUGGAGAGGCAGGCGGAAUUCCGUGUGUAGCGGUGAAAUGCGUAGAUAUACGGAGGAACACCAGUGGCGAAGGCGGCCUGCUGGACAGCAACUGACGCUGAGGCGCGAAAGCGUGGGGGGC
rnacentral:rRNA from 1 species